rnacentral:rRNA from 1 species
GGGCUUGACAUCCCACGAACCUGCCUGGAAGGGCGGGGUGCCCGCAAGGGAGCGUGGAGACAGGUGGUGCAUGGCUGUCGUCAGCUCGUGUCGUGAGAUGUUGGGUUAAGUCCCGCAACGAGCGCAACCCUCACCCCUGGUUGCCACCGGGUAAAGCCGAGCACUCGAGGGGAACUGCCAGCGUCAAGCUGGAGGAAGGCGGGGAUGACGUCAAGUCAUCAUGCCCCUUACGUCCUGGGCUACACACGUGCUACAAUGGCCGGUACAAAGGGACGCGAGACCGCGAGGUGGAGCCAAUCCCAAAAAACUGGUCUAAGUUCAGAUUGCAGUCUGCAACUCGACUGCAUGGAGGAGGAAUCGCUAGCAAUCGCGCAUCAGCACGGCGCGGUGAAUACGUUCCCGGGCCUUGUACACACCGCCCGUCACACCACGAAAGCUGUCUGUACUCGAAGUCGCUGAG